GGGGCAUUCUGAGUCACAUCCCCAGUCCUUUUUUUUAUAUGUUAUUUAGAUUUAGAGACAGGGUCUCACUGAGUUGCUUAGGGCCUCACUAAGUCGCUGAGGCUGGCUUUGACCUCAAGAUUUUCCUGCAUUAGCCUCCCAAGCCACUGGGAUUACAGGCCUGAGCCACUGUGCCUGGUUGUUUUUUAAUUCUUGGGGGUUUAUACCAGGAAUCACUGUGUUAUAUGGUAUUUCUGUUUAACUUUUGAGGAACAAUCACUAAUAUUUUCAUGCAAUAUUUUUUAAAAAUCAAAAUCAAUUUAAAAAAUUAGGGCUAGCUAUAGAGUGCUUGCCCAGCAUGUCCAAGGCCUUGGAUUUGAUACUCGGCACUGAAGGAAAAAAAAUCCACAGUGAACAAAAUAUCAAAUUUUAAAAUAAUUGAAAAAUUAAAAAAUAUAAAAAUAUAAAAACAGUCCUGCACAUUUCUCACUUCCUUCGGUCCUGGCCCUGAUACACAACAUUCUCACCUAGUAUACUUCCUGUUUUUACAUUUUAACUUUCUAAUAGUAAUUUAAAUAUUUUAACUGCUCUAUUAUUUUCUUUUUUUGGUAGGUUUUUUUGUUGGCCUUUCAAUUUUUUUUAAUACUACAAGAUGUUACAGCAUUAUUUUGUAAGACGUUACAGGAAAUUCAUCUACCAAAUACAUGCAGAAAUGAAAUGAACAAUUGUGGUAAACAAAAAAGAGCUUCAGGGCCCCAUUCGUGAAAAUUACAGCUCAAAGAUCAUAAGGGGUUCCGAAUGAAAAGCCCAGGUUAAAAGCUGGAAUAGGUCUCAUAGAGAGAGGGAUAGAAACACAGAGGGGGAUACUUUUAAUAUCACAAAGGGGUAGUCUGACUUAAAUGGAAGUUUUCAAUUUUAAUGAUUAGGACUUCUAAAGUCACUUAUAACAAAGUGCUUUUGCUUUGGACCAAUGGUGUAUGUAAAUAGGACCAGAACAGAGAGCACUUACAAAACAAUAAGCUAGCCUCUUUGUUGUUGGUACAUGAGGUUUUUCUCUUUUGGACACUCUCCUUGAACUUUGAUUCUAGCGAAGCACAGAACAGUCGUGGCAUGGCUGCUUAGAAUACCAGAGCAACUGAGGGACAAGAGCUCCUAGGAAGUCACUAUGAAUCAUUCAUUCAACAAAUCUGUCUUAAGCCCCCAGCAUGAGCCAGGCAUGGUGUCAGGUACAGGAUAUAGAGGGAGUCACUUACCUCUUGCACUUGCCUGUCUCUUGGGGCAGGCAGGUUUUAAAUCUAUAGAGAAAUAAGUACAUAAUUAUAAUUGUAUGUUCAGGGAGCUGAGGGUGUCAAAGAACAAGAACAAAAGGGCUUGUGAGAGAGAAUAAAAUGGGGUCCUGUGACAAGCUGGAGAGUCAAGGAAGGCUAUUUGGGCAAAGUGAGUAAAUAGUUUACCCAGAUGUGUGCCUGGCCACAUAGUGUUUCAAGAUGGUGGACCCAGACCUAGGAGACCUAGUGGGGAUGGCUUUCCCUGAUGAUGCAGUUGGUUGGAUGUUGAUACUGUUUUAGUGACCGUGUUGUCAUCCACUUGCUGUCAGCCUCAGCCUAUACUUCAUUUGGAUUGAAGUAUAGUUUGGAUUGAAGCUGAAGAGAUUUUAAAAUUUUUUUCUUCAUAAGCCAUCUAGUGCCAAUCUUUUUUUGGGGGGGAAUAUGGGGAUUGAACUCAGGGGCGCUUGACCACUGAGCCUCAUCCCCAGCCCUAUUUUGUAUUUUAUUUAGAGACAGGGUUUCACUGAGUGGGUUAGUGCCUCACUUUUGCUGAGGCUGGCUUUGAACUCGCAAUUCUCCUGCCUCAGCCUCCUGAGCUGCUGGGAUGACAGGCGUGUGCCACUGUGCCUGGCUUAGCACCAAUCUUUUUUUUUUAAAGAGAAGAGAGAGAGAGAGAGAAUUUUUAAUAUUUAUUUUUUAGUUAUUGGCGGACAUAACAUCUUUGUAUGUGGUGCUGAGGAUCGAACCCGGGCCGCACGCAUGGCAGGCGAGCGCGCUACUGCUUGAGCCACAUCCCCAGCCCCAGCCCCAAUCUUAAUGAUCACUUUUGCUACUUUAUUUCUUACUUUGCACUGUUUUUUUUUUUUUUUAAAUAGGUCCUAGUUCCAUGCAGAUCUAGCCUCUGUUAAGGUCAGUGCUAGACAUUGGCACUCACCAGCAUUGCCUCCAGCACCGAGGUUCUGCAGCUAUAGGUGCUGUACAAAGUGAGGGGAGAUAAGCAGAAAUGAGGAAGGGAGAAAAAAUACUUAGGUUUGUGAUUGAGGCUCCUAUAACAAAUGACAGAUUAACAAGAGAAUAGCACACUGACUUAUUUAAUCUAAACUGUAUGAUAUGGGACCGUUUAUAAGCUCUGUGUUUUGGGUGAAACCUGUAUAGUGGGGCCAUGUAAGAGGCCUGCUAUUUCGUUUGGUAAUCUGUCAUCUUGCUUCAAGUCAUACCACAGGUUCCCUAGUCCUAUCACACUACCUUUGGUUUUUGAGAGAGGGCUUGCUUCUCUUUUCUUUAGAAUUUAGAAGCCAAACUGUUUUUGUUUUGUUUUGUUUUUGUACUGGGGAUUGAACACAGGGGUGUUUUGACCACUGAGCUACAUACACCCCCAGUCCUUUUUUAAAAAUUUGUAAAACAAUUUUAAGAGAGGCUCUUGCUAGGGCUAGAGUUGUAGCUCAGUGGUAGAGUGCCUGCCUAGCAUGUGUGAGGCACUGGGUUUGAUUCUUGGCACCACAUAUAAAUAAAUAAAGGUUCAUUAACAACUAACUUGCUAAGUUGCUAAGGGUCUCACUAAGUUGCUGAAUACUGGCCUUGAACUUGGAUCUUCCUGCCUCAGCCUCCUCCAAUAGCUGGUAUUAUAGGCAUGCGCCACCAUGCCCAGCCUCAAAUAGUGUUCUCGAAGGGAGCAAACAUACUGCUUGGUUGGAUUUGCUAUUCUAACAUCUACCAUUCUCUACCUAUGAUAGUUAAAGUUCAUUCAGAAACCCCUUAAGAACAUUUUCAGGUAAUGGGUACUUUCUGCAUUUAAAGGAGAAAAAACAAAUCAAAUCACUAGUGUUUUACUUCAAUAUCUUGUCUUUAAUUCAGGCAUAGUUUAGAAAACACCCAGAUUCCCUGACAAGUAGCAGAUAAAAGCUACUGUUGAUCAGAAAAUUUGUCCCUUCUAGUCAUUAGGACUAAACAAAAUGAAACCUUUAAAUUAAGAAGUGUUGAAACCCAUGGAUAAUUCAAUUCACCACCACCACCACCACCACCACCAUCAUCAUCAUCAUUGUCAUUAUUUGCAGUGCGGGGGAUUGAACCCGGGGCCUUGCACAUACUAGACUAACACUUUAUAGCUGAGCUAUGCCUGCAGCCCUAUUCACAAUUUUUUGAGUCGACCUUUUUGUGGAUACAAAGGUAACUUAUAGCCCUGUCUGCGUUCAGAGAAAUUCAGUCUGGCAUGAGGGACAGGUAGAGAUUCAAACAUGAGUGGCAUCUGUUUCUCAAGAGUGCUUCAGUAGAGAGAUAGAAUAAUGACAUGGCGUCUUACUGAAGAAGUGACCACAUGGACGUCAGGUUUUCUGUUACUGAGGGAAGCAGUGCACAAGCAUGAUUGGCUUCAACCAAGGAUAUAACUGGGUAGACUGGUGGAAUUGUGACAUGUUUCAUGAAAGGAUUCUAUAAAAAUAAUAGCAGGACUUUCAGCUGUGGAACAAACAAUAGGAAAUGCAGUCCUGAUCUGAAACUGGGAACUUUUAAAAUUUUCAGAUUGCACUACAACACUUUUUUUAUACCUCUCUUGAUUCCUGGCUAUUUUUGGCUUGAUAGUAAAUAACUAUACAUUAGUAUGAUUCUUUUCUAAUCCGAAACAGAAUGAAGGUAACCUAGGAAGCCUGUAGCAGGCUGGGAUUCUCUGAUGUUAAUGACCCAAUCAAAGUUGUUUUAAAAUGUCAGUUAAGGCAAACCGUAAAUGUGGAGCAGAAAAUCCUUCAAGUGUCUAUGUAAAUGAUGUGCUUCUUAAUUUAGAAGUGAUAUUUAAUGUCUGUUGAAAGUUUGUUUUACAUUUGACAUGUAGUCUGGGUUGCUUGGAGCAAAAAAAAAAAAAAGCUCACUCUCUCUUAUUCCAUACUUCAUAUUUUGUAGCUGGUCCCAUGAAGUAGGAAGCUUGGUGUCUGCUAUGGACUUGAAUAUGUGUGUCCUCACCCCCAAUUUGUAUGUUGAAUCCUAAUCUCCAUUGUGAUGGUAUUUGGAGGUGUGACUUUUGAAAGUAAUUAGUGGUGAGUGUGAGGCAUUAGUGCCUUUAUAAGAAGAGAAAUGAGAACGAUUGCUCUCGCUACCAUGUGGAGGAUACAGGGAGAAGGUGGCCAUCUGCAAACCUGGAUGAGAGUCCUCACCAGACACUAGAUCUGUUAGCGUUUUGAUUUUGGACUUCAGAGCCUCCAGAACUGUGAGAAAUAAAUUUCUG
rnacentral:lncRNA from 1 species